UGGGGAAUCAUGGUCAAUGGGCGAAAGCCUGAACCUGCGACGCCGCGUGAGUGAUGAAGGUCGUAAGAUCGUAAAACUCUUUUCAGGGAUCUUAAAGCCUGUCUGUCAACAACAGGCAGGUCUGACUCUCACUGGAAGAAGCCCCAGCCAACUACGUGCCAGCAGCUGCGGUAAUACGUAGGGGGCGAGCGUUAUUCGGAAUUACUGGGUGUAAAGGGUAUGUAGGCGGCCAUUCAAGUCGCGUGUCAAAGUCCAGUGCUCAACGCUGGGUGUGCGCGCGAUACUGACGGGCUUGAGGGCUGUAGAGGUGAGCGGAAUUCCCGGUGUAGUGGUAAAAUACGUAGAGAUCGGGAGGAACACCAGCGGCGCAGGCGGCUCACUAGACAGUUUCUGACGCUAAGAUACGAAAGCGUGGGGAGCAAACA
rnacentral:rRNA from 1 species